UUCGCCUGUUUAUCAAAAACAUAGCCUUGUGGAACAUUCAAGGCAAGCCCUAACCGGUGAUAUAUUUAAACGGCCGCAGUACCCUGACUGUGCUAAGGUAGCGUAAUCAGUUGUCUUUUAAUUGGGGACUUGUAUGAAUGGGCCCAUGGGGGCCUACUGUCUCCUGGGUGCUUUUCAGAAAUUGACAGAAGGGUGAAAACUCCCUUAAAAAGAUAAAAGACGAGAAGACCCUAAGAACCUCGGACACUACGACCACUCGUCGCAAGCUUUUGUUGGGGCGACAACGGAGCACAAAGCCUACAAACCUCCGGCACUACUGGCUAACCCGCCGACACUGGUAUGAGAGAUUAGGUUACCUUAGGGAUAACAGCAUAAUUAUUAAUAGUUUGUGACCUCGAUGUUGGACUAGGGACCUUUAGGAUUAGAAGUCCAAGAGGCAAGUUCUGUUCGAACUACACCAAUCCCUACAUGAUCUGAGUUCAGACCGGGAGCCGCGGG
rnacentral:rRNA from 1 species